rnacentral:rRNA from 1 species
UACGUAGGGGGCUAGCGUUGUCCGGAUUUAUUGGGCGUAAAGAGCGCGCAGGCGGUCGUUCAAGUCGAGUGUGAAAGCCCCCGGCUCAACUGGGGAGGGUCAUUCGAUACUGAUCGACUCGAAGGCAGGAGAGGGAAGUGGAAUUCCCGGUGUAGUGGUGAAAUGCGUAGAUAUCGGGAGGAACACCAGUGGCGAAGGCGACUUCCUGGCCUGUUCUUGACGCUGAGGCGCGAAAGCUAGGGGAGCAAACGGG